AUGACGCUCUGCUUUGCUGCUGGCCGUGUGCUGAAGAGGCCGAAGCAGGAAGAUGAACAGCAGCAGCAGGAGGCAACGAUCCAGCUGCUGGGGCAGCAGCAGAACCUCUGCAGUCUGCUCAGGGAGGUUGGGAAUCCAGAGCUGUGUAACAUUUUUCGCUCUCAGAUUGGAGAGCAGAAACAGUCGAAAGGAGCCUCAUGUGCCAUUGCUCGAUCAUUGCUGGUGUGUGAGCUGAGGCGGCAGGCAUUGCAGCUGGGUGUCCCUAUGGCAGUGCUGGCAGUGAAGAUGGUACUGGAGAGACUGAUGGAGAUCACUGGAACUGAGGAUGAAAAGGAAGAAGAGGACAAGAGGAGAGGGCUGCUCACCUGCUCUCAGCGAGUAAGUGUCUGACUGUAUGUUUUGACUCAUUGUUUUGUGGCUGAACCCUCAUGCAAAUAUAAAAACAAGCCCCCAGACAAUAGUAAACCUAUGGUUAACUG
rnacentral:lncRNA from 1 species